AUUGAACGCUGGCGGCGUGCUUAACACAUGCAAGUCGAGCGGUAACGCGGGGGCAACCCUGGCGACGAGCGGCGAACGGGUGCGUAAUACAUGGGAAUCUGCCCUGUAGUGGGGAAUAACCCGGCGAAAGCCGGGCUAAUGCCGCAUACGAUCUACGGAUGAAAGCGGGGGACCUUCGGGCCUCGCGCUAUUGGAUGAGCCCAUGUCGGAUUAGCUAGUUGGUGAGGUAACGGCUCACCAAGGCGACGAUCCGUAGUC
rnacentral:rRNA from 1 species